rnacentral:rRNA from 1 species
GCAUGGUUGUCGUCAGCUCGUGUCGUGAGAUGUUGGGUUAAGUCCCGCAACGAGCGCAACCCCUAUUGUUAGUUGCCAUCAUUCAGUUGGGCACUCUAGCGAGACUGCCGGUAAUAAACCGGAGGAAGGUGGGGAUGACGUCAAAUCAUCAUGCCCCUUAUGACCUGGGCUACACACGUGCUACAAUGGUUGGUACAACGAGUUGCGAGUCGGUGACGGCGAGCUAAUCUCUUAAAGCCAAUCUCAGUUCGGAUUGUAGGCUGCAACUCGCCUACAUGAAGUCGGAAUCGCUAGUAAUCGCGGAUCAGCACGCCGCGGUCGAAUACGUUCCCGGGCCUU